UCUAUGGUUUCCGCGGCUCGCUAGAAGGAGUGCGGUCCACUGGAGGUCUCCCUACAUUCUUCCUCCAUUAUCUCACUGCCUCCGGUGGCUGCUGGGAUACCGGAGGACUCGGGUCCCGGCUCGACUCAGUCCUCCAGCCGCCCGGGGAAUACCUCUAGUUCUUCCCGGCCGCCGCCGCCUCCGCCCCGCCGCUUCCUCCUCCGCCUGCCGGCCUCCUUCGCCCCGCCCCGUCCGCGCAGCUCGUCCGGCCCGCCCGCAGGCCAGCUUCUCUCGGGAGCCUCCACCCAGGCGCAUGGCUCCAUGAAGCAAGAGGAGGAGGCAGAGCGCGAGAGAUCCCGUCCGCCCCAGCCGCGUCUGGGCCAGGAGAAAAGCAAAACCAUAUUCCUGCUGCUGUCAGUUUUGAUGCACUGAGAAAACUUCAGAGACCUAAGCUUUUUCCAGAGAAGAGAAGCUUUACUGGUGUUCCAGCCCUAAGGCUCAUAUGACAUUAACAGACAAGACACUUUUCAGAAAGACAGGCAACGUGUUGGACCUUCCGGAGCUUCUCAGAAGACAGAGGGUUUUCUUUUGAGGCUGUUGUACAGUGGCCUGAUUAUAGCUCACUGUAGCCUCGAAAUUCUGGGCCGAAAUGAUCCGCCUGCCUCAGCCUCCAAAGUAGCUGAGACUACAGGCUGGUCUUGAACUCUUGGGCUGAAGAGAUUCUCCCACCUCAGCCUCCCAAGGUGUUGAGAUUACAAGCAUGAGCCACCUCACCUGGCCAAGAGCUAGUUGUUAAAAGAGCCUAGCACUACCCCCCUCUUUCUUGUUUCCUCUCUCACCAUGUGAUCUCCACACACAUUGGCUUGCCUUCCCUUUCUGACAUGAGCGGAAGCAGCCUGAGGCCCUCACCAGAUGUGGAUGCCAGUGCCAUGCUUCUUGUACAAUCUGCAGAAUCAUAAGCUAAAUACACCUCUUUUCUUUAUAAAUUACCCAGCCUUGGGUAUUCCUUUAUAGCAACACAAACGGAGAAAGACAUAUGCAAUUUGCCAUUUUAAUCAUUUUUAACUGUACAAUUUGGUGGUAUUAAUUAUAUUUACAAUGUUGUGCAACCGUUACCACCAUCUAUUACCAAAGCCCUUUCAUCACCCCAAAUAGAAACUGUGCUUAUUCAGCAAAAACUCCCAUUUUCCUCUCCUUCCAGCCCCUGGUAACCUCUGGUAACCUCUAAUCUACCUCCUGUCUCUAUGAAUUUGCCUAUUGUAAAUAUUUCACAUAAUGGUAUCAUACACUAUCCUUUUGUGUCUAGCUUAUUUAACUUAGCAUAAUGUUUUCAAGGUUCAUCCAUCUUAUAGCAUGUAUCAGUAUUCCAUUCUUCUUUUCUAUGGCUGAAUAAUAAUUGUAUGUAUAUACUGCAUCUUGUUUAUCCAUUUAUCUUUUUGUUUGUUUGUUUUUUAAAGACAGGGUUUUACCAUGUUGGCCAAGCUAGUCUCGAACUCCUGAACUCAGGUGAUCCGCCCACCUUGGCCUCACAAAGUACUGGGAUUACAGGCGUGAGCCAUCGUGCCUGGCCUAUCCGUUUAUCUUUUGAUAGACAUUUUGGUUGUUUCUACCUUUUGUCUAUUGUGAAUAAUGCUGCUAUGAACAUUAGUGUACAAGUCACUGUUUAAGUUGUUGUUUUCAAUUCUUUUGGGUAUUGUAUUAGGCCAUUCUUGCAUUGAUAUAAAGAAAUACCUGAGACUGGGUAAGUGCCAAAGAAAAAAGGGUUUAGUUGGCUCACAUUUCUGCAGUCUGUACAGGAAGCAUAGCAGCAUCUGCUUCCAGGGAGGCUUCAGGAAGCUUCCAAUCAUGAUGGAAGGCAAAGUGGGUGCAGGUAUGUCACGUGGCAAAAGCCAGAGCAAGAGAGGAAGUGGGGAGGUGCUGCACACUUUUAAACAAUCAAAUCUUGUGAGAACUCACAAUCUUGAUGACAGCUAGAGAUGGUGAAGCCACUCAUGAGAAACCACUCCCAUGAUCCAAUCACCUCCCACCAGGCCCCAACUCUAACACCGGAGAUUAAUUACAUUUCAACAUGAGAUUUGCAUAGGAACAAACAGUCAAACUAUAUCCGGUAUAUACUUAAGAGUAGAAUUACUGGGUGAUAAUUCUGUUUUACGUUUUGAGGAAUUGCCAAACUAUCUUCCUCAGCAGUUAAACCAUUUACAUUCCCACCAGCAGUAUACUAGGUUUCCAAUUUCUCCACAUGUUCAACAACACUAGUUAUUUUUUCUUCUAAUUAUAGCCAUUCUAGUAGGUACAAAGUGGUAUCUCAUUGUGGUUUUAGCAUCUUUUGAGUUGCUUAUUGACCAUUUACAUGUCUUUUUUUUAGAGAAGUGUCUAAGUAUUUUGUCCAUUAAAAAAUUGAGUUAUUUAUCUUUUAUUUGUUGAGUUGUAGGAUUCUUUAUGCAUUCAAUUCUUUUGGGUAUUGUAUUAGGCCAUUCUUGCAUUGCCAUAAAGAAAUGCCUGAGUAUAUUAGUUUUUUGUCAGAUGUAUGAUUUGCAAACAUUUUCUCCAAUUUUUUGUGUUAUCUUUUCACUUUCUUUAUAGUGUCACUUGAUACACAAUUUUGAUGAAGUCCAAUUUAUCAGUUGUUUCAUCACUUGUACUUUUGAUGUUAUAUUUAAGAAACCGUUGUCAAACCCAAGGUCAUGAAGAUUUUUCAGUAUGUUUUCCUCUAAGAGUUUUAUAGCAUUUAAUAUUUAAGUGUUUUAUAGCAUUAAAUUUUGGUCUUUGAUCCAUUUUCAGUUAAUGUUUGUACAUUGUGUAAAAGUAUAGGUCCAACUUCAUUCUUUUGCUUGUGGAUAUCUAGUUUCCCCAACACCAUUUGUUGAAGAGAUUGUCCUUUUCCCCAUUGAGUGAUCCUGGAACCCUUGCUGAAAAUUAAUUACCCAUAGAUGUGAGUGUUAGUUCUGGCCUCUCGAUUCUAUUCCAUUGGUCUAUAUUGUCUACCUCUGUGCCAAGUCCAUGCUAUUUCAAUUAUUAUAGCUAUGUAGUAAAUUUUAAUAUCAGAAAAUGUGAGUCCUACAACUUUGUUCCUCUUCAGAUUAUUUUGGCUAUUUUGGGUUCCUUGAAAUUUUAUAUGAAUUUUAGAAUAGGUUUUUCCAUUUCUGCCAAAAGCGCUGUUGGGAUUUUAUUAGCGUGAUUACAUUGACUCUACAUAUCAUUUUGAGUAGCGUUGUCAUUUUAACAAUAUUAAGUCUUCCAACUUAUGAACACAGGAUCUCUUUCCAUUUAUUUAAGUCUACUUUAAUUUCUUUCCAGAAUGCUUUGUAGUUUUCAGUGUACAAGUCUUCUGCCUUCCUGGUUAAAUUGAUUUCUAAAUAUUUUAUUCUUUUGGGUACUACUGUAAAUAAAAAAUUCUUAAUUUCCUUUUCAGAUUUUGUACUGCUAGUGUGUAGAAACACGACUGAUUUUUGUGUGUUGAUUUUGUAUUCUGCAGCCUUGCUAAAUUUGUUUAUUAGCUUUAAGAGGCUAUUUUUGGUAUUCUUUAGGGCUUUCUACACUUAUAUCACUUGCAAAUAGAGAUAGUUUUACUUCUUCCUUUCUAAUUUGGAUUUAUUUUAUUUCUUUUUCUUGCCUGAUGGGUCUGGCUAGAACUGCCAAUACUAUGUUGAAUAGAAGUGGCAAACACAGGCAUCCAUGGCUUCUGAUUUUAGUGGAAAAGCUUGAAAUUUUUCCCCAUUGAGAAUGAUGUCAGUCGUGAGUUUUUAAUACAUGGUCUUUAUCAUGUUGAGACAGUUCCUUUCUAUUCCUGGUUUGUUGAACAGUUCUAUCAUAAAGGAGGAAUGGAUUUUCUCAAAUGUUCUUCUAUAUCAAUUGAGAUGAUCAUGAGUUUUUCACUCCUUCAUUCUAUUACUUGGUGUAUUACAUCGACUGAUUUUCAUACGUUAAACCACUCUUAAAUUUCUGGGAUAAAUCUCAGUUGGUCAUAGUGUAAAAUUCUUUUAAGGGCUGCUGAAUUUAAUUUCCUAGUAUUUUGUUGGGGAUUUUUGUAUCUAUAAUGCAUUCAUAGGGGACAUUUGGCUAUAGUUUUCUUGUAUUGUCUGUCUAGCUUUGGUAUCAGGGUAAUGUUGGCUUCAUAGAAUGACUCAGAAAGGGUUCUGUUUCUCAACUUUUUGGAGGAGUUCGAGAAGGAUUAGUGUUAAUUCAUUUCUAAACGUUUGGUAGAAUUCACCAGCGAAGUCAUCAGUUCCUGGGCUUUUCUUUGUUAGGAGAGUUUUGGUUGCUGAUUCAAUCAGAAUUGAAUAUCAUUACUUUUUAUAGAUCUAUUCAGAUUUAUUCUUUGUUCUUGAGUCAACUUUGUUGGUUUGUAUGUUUCUAGGAAUUUGUCUGUUUCAUCUAGGUUAUCCAAUUUUUUGACAUAUAGCUCUUAUACGAAUUCUCUUACAAUCCUUUUUAUUCCUAUAAAUCAGUAGUAGUGUCUUUCAUUUCUGAUUUUAGUAGUUGAGUAUUCUUUUUCCUUAAUCUAGUUAAAGCUUUGUCAACUUUGUUGAUCUCUUCAAAGAACUAAUUUUUUGUUUCAUUGAUUCUAUUGUUUUUCUAUUCUCUAUUUCAUUUAUUUUUGCUCUAAUCCUUAUUAUUUCCUUCCUCUUUAUGGCUUCAAACUCAAUUGAACAUAAAGUAUUAAGAAAUUUGACUUUUUUUCUCAAAUGUCUAAAAUGUAAGAAGAAAUAUGUCUAGAGUCAUCAAAAAGCAGCCUGUUUGUCAGAUUUACUGUUUAAUCCAUGUAAACAGCUUUCAUAUAAUUCAUGAUAGAAUAUUACUAUGUGCUUUGGAAGACACUGAGGAAAGACAAAAGGUCAUUGGGCAGAACCACCCUAGAUUGACUGUUAAGGCCAUCUUCUAGUUUGCAGGACUUGUGGUAGACAGACAGAAUAAUAUCCUGGACCUCUUGGGUGUAUACAGGACAAACUGAAAUAAACUCUCAUUUUUAGAUCAUAAUGUCAUCAUGAAACAUAUCAAUUCGGUCUAUUUCUGAAGAAAACAAGCACAAUGAUAAAGUUUGAAUGUUUGUCUCCUCCAAAUCUCAUGCUGACAUUUGAUCCCCAAUGUUGGAGGUGGGGCGCACUGGGAGGUGUUUUGGUUACGGGGGCAGAUCCCUCAUGAAUGGCUUGGUGCUGUCUUCAUGGGAUUAUGUUCUCACUCCUACUUCCUGUGAGAUCUUAUUGUUAAAAAGAAUCUGAUACCUUCCUCCCCUCUCUUGCUCUCUUCCUCCCUGAUCAUGUGACACACGGGUUCCCCUUUGCCUUCCACCACGAUGGAGGCUUCCUGAGGCCCUCAACAGAAGCAGAUGCUGGUGCCAUGCUUCUCGUACAGCCUGCAGAAUUGUCAGUUUAAGUAUAGUGUGCCUGGGCCGGGUGCGGUGGCUCACGCCUAUAAUCCCAGCACUUUGGGAGGCCAAGGCCAGUGGAUCACCUGAGGUCAGGAAUUCGGGACCAACCUGGCCAACAUGUGAAACCCCAUCUCCACUAAAAAAUCCAAAAAUUAGCCAGGCAUGGUGGUGCGUGCCUGUAAUCCCAGCUAUUCAGGAGACUGAGGCAGGAGAAUCGCUGGACCUUGGGGAGGCGGAGGUUGCAGUGAGCUGAGAUCGCACACUACCGUACUCCAGCCUGGGUGACAAAGAAAAACUCCGUCUCAAAAAAUAAUAAUAAUAAAA
ensembl:lncRNA NUTM2A-AS1 NUTM2A antisense RNA 1